CCUUGCCAGCCCGCUCAGAAACUCAAAGGAAGUUGACGGGGGCCCGCACAAGCGGUGGAGUAUGUGGUUUAAUUCGAUGCAACGCGAAGAACCUUACCUGGUCUUGACAUCCCGGAGACCCUUAGGAAACUAGGGGGUGCUUCCAUCUGGAAGAAUCUGGAGACAGGUGCUGCAUGGCUGUCGUCAGCUCGUGUCGUGAGAUGUUGGGUUAAGUCCCGCAACGAGCGCAACCCUUGCCUUUAGUUGCCAGCAGUUCGGCUGGGCACUCUAAAGGGACUGCCGGUGUUAAACCGGAGGAAGGUGGGGAUGACGUCAAGUCCUCAUGGCCUUUAUGACCAGGGCUACACACGUACUACAAUGGCCGAUACAAAGGGCAGCGACACUGCGAGGUGAAGCCAAUCCCGUAAAAUCGGUCUCAGUCCGGAUUGGAGUCUGCAACUCGACUCCAUGAAGUUGGAAUCGCUAGUAAUCGUGGAUCAGCAUGCCACGGUGAAUACGUUCCCGGGCCUU
rnacentral:rRNA from 1 species